UACGUAGGGAGCAAGCGUUGUCCGGAAUCAUUGGGCGUAAAGCGCGCGUAGGCGGCUCGGAAAGUCGGGCGUGAAAUGCCGGGGCUCAACCCCGGGACUGCGUCCGAUACUUCCGAGCUGGAGGUAGGUAGGGGAGAUCGGAAUUCCUGGUGUAGCGGUGAAAUGCGCAGAUAUCAGGAGGAACACCGGUGGCGAAGGCGGAUCUCUGGGCCUUACCUGACGCUGAGGCGCGAAAGCUAGGGGAGCGAACAGG
rnacentral:rRNA from 1 species